AGUGAACGCUGGCGGUAGGCCUAACACAUGCAAGCCGAACGGCAGCACAGUAAGAGCUUGCUCUUACGGGUGGCGAGUGGCGGACGGGUGAGGAAUACAUCGGAAUCUGCUUUUUCGUGGGGGAUAACGUAGGGAAACUUACGCUAAUACCGCAUACGACCUACGGGUGAAAGCAGGGGAUCUUCGGACCUUGCGCGAUUGAAUGAGCCGAUGUCGGAUUAGCUAGUUGGCGGGGUAAAGGCCCACCAAGGCGACGAUCCGUAGCUGGUCUGAGAGGAUGAUCAGCCACACUGGAACUGAGACACGGUCCAGACUCCUACGGGAGGCAGCAGUGGGGAAUAUUGGACAAUGGGCGCAAGCCUGAUCCAGCCAUACCGCGUGGGUGAAGAAGGCCUUCGGGUUGUAAAGCCCUUUUGUUGGGAAAGAAAAGCAGCAGGUUAAUACCCCGCUGUUCUGACGGUACCCAAAGAAUAAGCACCGGCUAACUUCGUG
rnacentral:rRNA from 1 species